GAUGAACGCUGGCGGCGUGCUUAACACAUGCAAGUCGAACGAUGAAAGCGGGAGCUUGCUCCUGCUGGAUUAGUGGCGAACGGGUGAGUAACACGUGAGUAACCUGCCCUUGACUCUGGGAUAAGCGUUGGAAACGACGUCUAAUACCGGAUACGACCUUCGGAGGCAUCUCCUGGGGUGGAAAGAAUUUCGGUCAAGGAUGGACUCGCGGCCUAUCAGCUAGUUGGUGAGGUAAUGGCUCACCAAGGCGACGACGGGUAGCCGGCCUGAGAGGUGACCGGCCACACUGGGACUGAGACACGGCCCAGACUCCUACGGGGGCAGCAGUGGGGAAUAUUGCACAAUGGGCGCAAGCCUGAUGCAGCAACGCCGCGUGAGGGACGAACGGCCUUCGGUUGGUAAACCUCCUUUAGUUAGGAAGAAGCGAAAGUGACGGUACCUGCAGAAAAGACACCGGCUAACUACGUGCCAGCAGCCGCGGUAAU
rnacentral:rRNA from 1 species